GGGAAGAAUGCAGCUCCGUCCAUUCCCAGCCCUUUCUGGGCAGGGCUCCUCCCUACUUUCUUUCUUUUUAUUUAUUUUGGGAGGGGGGAGGAACAGAGAGAGAAGGGGAGAGAGCGCGAGAAUCCCAAGCAGGCCAUCGCGGAGCCAGAGGCGGGGCUUGAACUCACAAACCAUGAGAUCAUGACCUGAGCGGAUAUCAGGAGUCGGAAGCUUAACGGACUGAGCCACCCGGGCGCCCGACCUACUUUCUAAGUCUGUUGUUGGUGACCCGAGGCUUCGGGUCCGGGCUGUCCUCCCUGGAGCACACCUGAACACCAGUCACGUGCUGCCAGGACCACACGGGCAGGGAAGAAUGUCACGGGCAUGCACGACGGGCAGCAGAGCAGGGACAGAAGCUGCAGACUGGCAGAACCACCAGCGAGGAGCAAAGGAGGCCCACUUAGCCUGCGUUGCUCCUUUGAAUCGCCACCCCGAGAUCCGCCUCCGUGUGAAUCCCAUCGGCACGUCCUUACUCUUCAAGUCCUGCAUGCCCAUUACAGCUUAGCCCCCAGAACUCCUGACAGUUACACUUCGAUGUGUCUAGAAGCUCAUAGCGUGCGCGGCCUGGAGACACCGACAGGAAGUAGACUUAGCCUCGCCUCUGAGGAGGUCACGGCCUGGAAGUCGAGAAAGGCAAUGAAACAAUCAUGAUGCAUUGUGACAAAAUAGAAUAAUGGAGGCAUUUAGGAACUACUGAAAGGGGCACCUGGUGGCUCAGCCCCACUUCGACUCAGGCCACCAUCUUGCAGUUUGUGGGUUCGAGCCCCACGUCGGGCUCUGUG
rnacentral:lncRNA from 1 species